AUUGAACGCUGGCGGCAGGCCUAACACAUGCAAGUCGAACGAGUGGCGGACGGGUGAGUAAUGUCUGGGAAACUGCCUGAUGGAGGGGGAUAACUACUGGAAACGGUGGCUAAUACCGCAUACCCUCGGAUGAACCCAUAUGGGAUUAGCUAGUAGGUGGGGUAAAGGCUCACUUAGGCGACGAUCCCUAGCUGGUCUGAGAGGAUGAACAGCCACACUGGAACUGAGACACGGUCCAGACUCCUACGGGAGGCAGCAGUGGGGAAUAUUGCACAAGGGGCGCAAGCCUGAUGCAGCCAUGCCGCGUGUAUGAAGAAGGCCUUAGGGUUGUAAAGUACUUUCAGCGGGGAGGCGUUACCCGCAGAAGAAGCACCGGCUAACUCCGUGCCAGCAGCCGCGGUAAUAC
rnacentral:rRNA from 1 species